AGUGAACGCUGGCGGUAGGCCUAACACAUGCAAGUCGAACGGAAGCACAGUAAGAGCUUGCUCUUACGGGUGGCGAGUGGCGGACGGGUGAGGCAUACAUCGGAAUCUACUUUUUCGUGGGGGAUAACGUAGGGCAACUUACGCUAAUACCGCAUACGACCUACGGGUGAAAGCAGGGGAUCUUCGGACCCUGCGCGACUGAAUGAGACGAUGCCGGAUUAGCUAGUUGGCGGGGUAAAGGCUCACCAAGGCGACGAUCCGUAGCUGAUCUGAGAGGAUGAUCAGCCACACUGGAACUGAGACACGGUCCAGACUCCUACGGGAGGCAGCAGUAGGGAAUAUUGCGCAAUGGGCGAAAGCCUGACGCAGCCAUACCGCGUGGGUGAUGAAGGUCUUCGGGUCGUAAAGCCCUGUUGUUAGGAAAGAACAUCUGCAUAUGAAAACCCGGCUGUUCUGACGGUACCUAAACAAUAAGCACCGGCUAACUUCGUG
rnacentral:rRNA from 1 species